UCAGGGUGUCUUCUUCAGAUCUCAAAUGAGU
rnacentral:piRNA from 1 species